CACAGCGUUCGAAGACACCUUACUACUGCACAAAACAUACCUCAUCUCAAAUGCACAAGUUAAAGAAACAGAUACAUACUAUAGAGCCCAGCUUGGUCACAUUCGAUGGACAAUCAAUGCAAAAACCAACAUCGUUGAAGUCGACGAACAAUUUAACUCCCUCCUUUCAUCAACUUACAACUUCAUAUCAUUCGAAAAUCUUCAGCCAUACAUGGAUACAAAUGCAGAAAUCAUUAAGUACUUGCAAUCCCAUUAACAUCUUACACUUUAUUACUUUUAUCUUAAACAUAAAUUACAACCUAUACUCAUUACUAGCCCAUAUUAUUUCUUAUAGGCAUCAUUGGAAUAGCAGUCGACAUCUUCCCCAAAAGAGUAAUUCAAAUUCGUGACAACCAAUCAACAGUACAAGAUGUCAUUCUCAUGAACGAAAGGCUAGAAGAGAACAUCAUCACAAUAAAUGACAUCGUGACAAGAAAAGCUUAUAUCUUCCCCCACAUCCACCACAAUUUCUUGCCCACCAGAAGAAAAGUUAGUCAACAUCAAACAGCUACAACAUAUGAGCAAGAGCAAUCGUUCAGUUACAGGACUACACAGGCUCAAUGACAGCAUCAAUUAUUGGAAAAUCGGCUGAAACAUUCCUCAAAUGCCCAGUAACAGAAUUGAUGAAACAAAGUUCUAAUGAACAUAUGGAGAGCAGCUCUACAAUUCCAGCAACAACUCCACGUGAGCACAUCGUAUACAUCAAAGCUGGAAAUAUAGAGACAACCACUAACAAGCCACCAUAUGAAGUCAUCUUCAUCCUUGACUCACACCUCCAAGAUGACAACCAGUUACCUGCCAACAUCACACAACCAAGCACUACACAUGAAGCUCCCAAACAUGCAGAUAAAAAACAGAAGCAAGAGUAGCUGUUGAAGACCUGAAAAUACAUAUUUUGUAUUUCUUUUGCACACUUGUGUCCACAAUCCAACAGACCAGAUUCCCAGCAUCUCUAUCUGCCAUACUAAAUUUUGUUCAUUGUCCAUAUUAACAUAUUAGAAACCAUGUACCCAAAUACGGCAUGUAACAUCUCUGUGUAUGGCACCUAAGAACUCUGUUUUGUACUUCAUAUUACUAUUGCCAAUGUAACUACUUGUGGACACAUUUUAUAUAAUCUAAUGUAAUCAUCCUUCUAA